CAGUCGCCGCGGUAAAACGAAGGGGGCUAGCGUUGUUCGGAUUUACUGGGCGUAAAGCGCACGUAGGCGGACUUUUAAGUCAGGGGUGAAAUCCCGGGGCUCAACCCCGGAACUGCCUUUGAUACUGGAAGUCUUGAGUAUGGUAGAGGUGAGUGGAAUUCCGAGUGUAGAGGUGAAAUUCGUAGAUAUUCGGAGGAACACCAGUGGCGAAGGCGGCUCACUGGACCAUUACUGACGCUGAGGUGCGAAAGCGUGGGGAGCAAACAGGAUUAGAUACCCCCGUAGUCCCUGUCUCUUAUAC
rnacentral:rRNA from 1 species